CAGCAGCCGCGGUAAUACAGAGGGUGCAAGCGUUAAUCGGAAUUACUGGGCGUAAAGCGCGCGUAGGUGGUUUGUUAAGUUGGAUGUGAAAGCCCCGGGCUCAACCUGGGAACUGCAUCCAAAACUGGCAAGCUAGAGUACGGUAGAGGGUGGUGGACUUUCCUGUGUAGCGGUGAAAUGCGUAGAUAUAGGAAGGAACACCAGUGGCGAAGGCGACCACCUGGACUGAUACUGACACUGAGGUGCGAAAGCGUGGGGAGCAAACAGGAUUAGAUACCCCGGUAGUCCCUGUCUCUUAUAC
rnacentral:rRNA from 1 species